rnacentral:rRNA from 1 species
ACGGCUACCUUGUUACGACUUAGCCCCAGUCACCGAUUUCGCUCUAGGGCGCGCCUCCCGGCGACGCACUUCAAGCGCCCUCGGCUCCCAUGGCUUGACGGGCGGUGUGUACAAGGCCCGGGAACGUAUUCACCGCGCCAUGGCUGAUGCGCGAUUACUAGCGAAUCCAGCUUCACGGAGUCGGGUUGCAGACUCCGAUCCGAACUGAGAGGGGCUUUCGGGUUCCGCUCGGCGUCGCCGCCUGGCUUCCCGCUGUACCCCCCAUUGUAACACGUGUGUCGCCCCGGACGUAAGGGCCGUGCUGAUUUGACGUCAUCCCCGCCUUCCUCGCGGCUUGCGCCGGCAGUCCGUGCAGAGUCCCCAGCCCCUCCUGCUGGCAACUGCACGCGGGGGUUGCGCUCGUUAUGGCACUUAAGCCGACACCUC